GAUGAACGCUGGCGGCGUGCCUAAUACAUGCCAGUCGAGCGAACAGACGAGGAGCUUGCUCCUCUGACGUUAGCGGCGGACGGGUGAGUAACACGUGGAUAACCUACCUAUAAGACUGGGAUAACUUCGGGAAACCGGAGCUAAUACCGGAUAAUAUAUUGAACCGCAUGGUUCAAUAGUGAAAGACGGUUUUGCUGUCACUUAUAGAUGGAUCCGCGCCGCAUUAGCUAGUUGGUAAGGUAACGGCUUACCAAGGCAACGAUGCGUAGCCGACCUGAGAGGGAGAGGGGCAAAAUUGGAAAUGAAACACGGUCCAGACUCCUCCGGGAGGCAGCAGUGGGGAAUCUGGCACAAUGGGCGAAAGCCUGACGGAGUAACGCCGCGUGAGUGAAGAAGGUCUUCGGAUCGUAAAACUCUUUUAUCGGGAAAGAACAAAUGUGUAAGUAACUAUGCACGUCUUGACGGUACCUAAUCAGAAAGCCACGGCUAACUACGUG
rnacentral:rRNA from 1 species